GGACCUGUGCGCGGACCUGGGCACGGACCUGUGCGCGGACCUGGGCACGGACCUGUGCCGGCCCCUCUCCUCGGGCACUGCCCCGAUCCCAGCAAAAGCGCCCCCAAACGCCAGCACCCACGGCGCCCGCUCUGCCCUCUCCCUCCCGAGGAACCGAGCACCGGGCCCCGGAGGAUGUUUCAAAGACAAGGUUGCUGAAAUCAUACCGAUCCUUUAAAAACGGUGCCGCUGGUUGUUUAAAAAUACAUGCGCUGCCCCGUGUCACGAUUUAGAAAUGACAGUUUAUGACUAUUUCUCCUGGACUCUGCAUUUUUUAUUUAAAAAUAUAACUACUUUAAAAACAAUAAUCAGAAACACGUGCAUUGCCCUCGUGUCACGAUUUUUACACGAGAGCCUAUUGCUGCUCCUCCUGAACUCUGCAUUUUUUUUUUUUAGUGUUCGUGAAGAGCAAGGUCAGUCCUGGGACUGAGAACUUUACUCGGGUGAGACGGCGGAUUUAAUUCCAGCAGUCAGCCCCGCGGCCGGGACAGAGGGAUAACCGGGGAUGUACCACCGUAAAACAACCCCGAGGGUAAAUUUAUCCACCACUGAGGGAGAACCCCAGCGGCUCCUGCCCCCGUGGAAAGGGUGCCGAGAGGAAGAGCUGCAGCCCAAGGCCGGCUGAAAACCCGCAGGUACCCGAAGGAGCAACCCUGAGGUUUGCUCUCCCGAUUUGCUCUGUCGGCCCCUUUGCGUUUAUAGGUCUUUUGGAAUCCAACCAGAGGACUGCAGGUGAGAGAGAAGCAGGGAUACACAUCACCAGAAGGUUGUGUUCCAGCAGUGGGAAAGCUUCGGGGAGCUGCUAAAAGCAUUCUACACUGCAUUUUUCUCUGGCCAGACUUCACCACAUCUGUGGAAUUGUUUAGCUAUCAACAAAACUAACGCAAUACAAGAACUCUGAUCUCAUUCGGGCUGUCUCUCACCACUUGGACAUUAAGUUGCAACUAUUCCUUCAGGUAGGUUUCAGCUCCAGGCUGUUCCCUGCUCUGCCACCUCCCGGGGAGGAGCCCUCCCCUGCUGCAGAUAUUUGGGAUGUGGGUGUAUGACUGUGACCCGGCCAGCUGCAGGAGCCAGCCAGUGUGUGAGCAUGGGCUCAACCUGCAGAGCCCUGCAUCAGACACCUCCCUGUAGAGCUUUAUCUUUGCAGAGAUGCAGAAUCCCCUUCCCAGAGCCUGCAGGGCGCUGCAGGGGGAUGGCUGGCUAAUGGUCAUGGAUCCUCAGUGGGACACAGGUGUCUCUUGUGCCUCUGAACCCCCCCCCCCAGUCUGACUGGAGAGUCACUUCUCUCUAUCCCAGCAGCCACUUCUUCCAUCACAUUGUUUCACACUUUCUACCACUGUGGGAACAUCGUGUUCAUACACGAGGGAGGAAUUUAACUCUCUGAAUGGACCUGGGUGUCAUCAGCUUAACCAUACUGUUCAGAUAAGGAAAUAAAUGCUACAUGAUGGUGCUUACCCUUGCUUGUGACAAAACACCAGCUGUUGUACAACCUUCCUUUGAAAAUUAUCUGUGGAGUAGCUUUCACCUUCAUAAAUGCACACAGGAGAAGUGGUUUGGUAGGAUUAGCAUUAGCCUUAAAAAAAAAAAGAUAUAUUAUGCAACCGGUUCUUAGUUUUUAAAUCUUCACAGGUGGAGAAGACACACAUUGAUCAGGACAGAGUCACAUGUGAACGAACCAGCUGAACUGGGAAAAAACUUGCAGUGGCUCAAUAUAUAACAGCUGAUGAAAAGUUUGGGAGCAUCCUGGGCUCAGGGGCCAGUUGGCCUGGAACAGCCCACAUUUACAUUAGUAAAUUCCUGGUUAAACAGGGUGUUUGCAUUCAGAGCCGUGGUCUCACCUACAGGCAUUAGCCAUGGCUUCACUGCUGGUGGCCUUUCGGGACCUCUGAGGUGCGUUUUACUCACAAAUCAUUGUUUAUUUUAAACUCUGUGAUGGUUGAAGUGCAGCUUUGUGAGAAGAUAUGAAGUUCUUGGCAGCAAGUGUGCUGAAUUGCCUUUCUCUUUGAAAAGAGGGAGGCUGUUCACAGUGCUGUGCGGGAGGGGGAUGAGAGGCAUAGGACCUAAGUUGGAACAGUGCUGGGUUUCAAACCCAGUUUUUGUAGCAAAGGGCAGUGGAAGAGGCUGGACUGAGAGGCUGAGCAGCCUCCAUGCUCAGAGGCCUGGAACACCCAGCUGAGCAACCUGCUCUGACCACACAAUUGUCCCUGCACUGAGCAGGAGGGUGGACUGAGGGCCCUUCCAACCUGAAUCGUUGUCUGUGGAGCAGGGUGUGACCCUCUGGGACUCACUGAGGCUCCCCUGACUGUGCUCGGGUCAGGACAGUGUCACUGAGGGGACAGCUGUUCUGCAGCAUCAGCCCUGCAGAAUGCCCAGAAAUGGAGAGGAAAUAUGUGCAGAUUUAAAAUGUUAAAACCACAAGUAUAAUAAAUUCUCAUUUAAUGUCAGUGAGUUAAUGCUGAGAAGGUAAAACAGAACAUCAGAUGUUCUUAUUUUCCCCGAAGCCCAGCUAACUUCACAGACAGAGAUUAUCAUAGGAGCAGUUUCUGAAUAACCCAUUUCAACAACAGGAUUUGUGGCUGGAUGUCUUUGUGGUAACAGCACUGCAGCUGCUCUUUCAACAGUUUGGCUCACACCUAUGCACUUCACCCAGCAGUUAAUAUACAUGCUUUGAGUGGUGUGGUGCUCAACACACACAAUUUCCUGGGUGGGCUGCAAAUCCCUAAGUAUGUAUUUUUUCAAGUCGUUGAAGUUUCUGAACAUUUUGCGUAAUUGUUGUUCUUACUCUCUUUGUCACCUUACGAUGUCUCAACACAGAUUAUUUGUUAGAAAGCCAAGAGCCAGGUGGAGUUCCUGGGGAAAAGGAACAACUAAAAAUACUUCUAUUCUCUAUUCAUUCAGUGACAUUGUCUGACACCGUAUUACACGAGAUUACUGAUCUAAUGGAGCUUGACAUUGUACAAGAACAUGAAGCAUGAGCCCAAACCUGCCCUAAGCUGUGACACCAGGCCUAGAAAGCACUGUGGAGCGAUAAUGUGCCAAUUAGACGUGUCCAUUUGUGUUACUUGCAGGCAAUGGAAGACAAGCCUUUCCAUCCUCCCUUCCAGAUUCACCCUCUGUAACAGUUAUGAAUGAGAGGCUGAAACUGUGAAUUACUCAGCCUGUUCAUCAAGAACAGCAGGGCCAAAUUCUUCCCCCUACCUGGCAUGAAGCUUUAUUUAUUAACUUGGUGGGAGCUUCUGGACUGCUCAGAGUAUCCCAGUCAGCCUGGUGUCAUCUGAAAAUAGUUGUCACUCUUCCCAUUCUGAGAGGGUACUGAUGAAAGGCAGCAAUGCUCCCCUGGAGGGGCUAUGUAGUUAUUAUGAAGUAGCCUAAAUGUGAAAAAUAAACAAGUAAUAACAAGUUUUAACCACCAACAGCACAGGCUAAAUAUGAAAGAUGAGGCAAAGGAAAUGUUGGUGUCUGGCUUUUCAGUCCUUCCUAUCAGGAUGAAAUUAAAUAUCUUUCUACUAAAAGAGAGCCUGACCCAAAGACUGUUGAAAUCAGUGGAAAGACAUCCACUGCAGAGGGUUUCUAGAAAGGCCCACCAUUCUGAAGACAAUUGGCUCACACACAGCCAUUCCUUCCUGAUGGAUAUUUGCAGCUGGGGCUAAUAAUAGUAUUUAAUGUUCUUUCUAAUAAAUCUCUUGUCAUAUG